rnacentral:RNase_P_RNA from 1 species
AAUCGCGGCGCGUGGGAACGUGCUGAGGAAAGUCCGGGCAUCACAGAGCAGGGUAGCUGAUAACGUCAGCCGAGGGCGACCUUAGGGCUAGUGCAACAGAGAUAUACCGCCGUGACUGCUUGCAGUCACAGUAAGGGUGGAAAGGCGAGGUAAGAGCUCACCGGAGUUCGGGAGACCGAACUGCCAUGUAAACCCUAUCCGAUGCAACGCCGAUUGGUACGGGGAGCAACGCGUCUGCUCGGCGCGCCUCGUUUAAGGCGGCUUGACUCUUUCGGUGACGAAAGAGCUAGAUAGAUGAUUAUACACGACAGAACCCGGCUUAUCGA